rnacentral:lncRNA from 1 species
CUCUCUGCCUCGGAUGGCCAAAGCCUGCGAUCUUCCUUGUCGGCUGGUGAUUUUAAACUGUCCAACCGAUUCAGCAAUUUGUAGACAGGUUAAUGAGGUGUUCUUUUACUUCUUUUGGAACUCAAUUUGCUAUAUCUUCCGUGCUGCUUGUAGUUCAAAGUAGCCAAUAUUUUGCAGCAGAAAGAUGUGGAUUAGCUGAACCCUGCUAGAUAACUUUCAUCCUUCUUGAAAGUUGUAUCUUAGCUGAAAAUUAAUAGAAAAGAAAAUAAACAUAUUUGACAUUUAAAAUUUCAAAUCAAUAUUACCUUCACCACCAUAAAUCCAGCAUAUUUCCUUUCCAAAAAUCAAGAAUAUUAAAUUUCUUAUCUCUUAGAAGUAAUUUCUCCUCCAAGUAAAUACCUAAUUGGGACUUGGAAAUAGAUGCCUCAUGUUGGCUAUUAUAGGAAUGAAACUCCAAAUCUAACUCAUCUCUUAUUUCACCAUCAUUUUCAGCAUUAGCAAUCCUAUCUUGGGAUUCUAAACAAGCAAGAGACUGGCCUUGUAAAUAUACCUCAAGCAAUGCUUCUAACUUGUCUUUAAGAUUUUUAACCUUUUCCUCAGCAGUCAAAGGAUCAAGCUUUUCAAAACAAAAUUGCAAGUAGCGUAAUUUAUACCUCGGGUCCAAAAUGAAAGCCAAAGAUAGAAUGACACUGUAGCAGUCCCAAUACUUUUUAAACUUCUCAUUCAUAAACUCAGCCAUACCAUGUAUAAAAUCAUCAGAACUAUGAAGAUUUUUUCGAAUCAACAAUUCUAUUCUCCACACCUUGAGAAAAUACAAAUUUGCAGUAGGAUAAUAUGACCCAGAAAACAGUAAUGUCAUUUCAUAAAAAGGUUGUAAAAAUUCAGCAACCUUCUUAAUCUUCAUCCACUCAUAAUCUGAUGGGCAGUGUUCGUACAGUCCAUCUACUCUCUGCAAACGAUGAAAUGCUGCUCGAUAAGGUAACGCACUAUCCAACAUCAAAUAAGUGGAAUUCCACCUUGUUGGCACAUCUUGUUGUAAUUUCUUGCUAGCAUCCAAGGAAACAUAUUUCACACAUUCAGCAAAUUUCAUGCCUCUCAUCUCCGAACCUCUAACAAAUUUGACACACUCUCUAAUCUUGACCACAGAAGAAUCAAUAGCUUUAAGACCAUGCUGAACUAUCAAAUUUAAAAUAUGUGCACCACAACGCACAUGAAGAUGGUCACCAUUACAUAUUAAAGAAUCUAUCACCAAAAAAUGAUCCUUUAGUGCUUCUAUUAUCCCACUUUGGUAACUUGCAUUAUCUAAUGUAACACUAAAAUUUUUUCGCUCAAUACCCCAUUCCUUCAAAAACUGAAUCAACGGAUCACCUAAAAAUGGACCAUUAUGUGGGGGAGGUAAGUGGCGAAAAAUCAAUACUUUUUUUCUCAAAGUCCAACUCUCAUCAAUAUAGUGUCCUGUCACAGCCAUGUAGCCAUCUGUAGUUAACGAACUCCAUAAAUCUGAAGUUAAACAAAUCCUACCAGGAAUCAUCUCUAAUUCCUUUUUUAAUUUUUCCUUUUCCCUAUUGUAUAAUUUUAAUAUAUCAGACUUGGCUGUAUUUCUUGAGAGAGUUUGGACAGUUGGAUUCAAAAAUUUGUGCAAGUCUCUUAUACCUUGAUGUUCUACAAAGCUAAAAGGAUAGUUAUGCCGUGCUAUUGCCAAAGAUAUAUGCUCUCGAUACACGUCAUGGUCAACCAUCAAGUAUUGUGUUGCUUGUUCUUUGCUAUUCGAACAUCCUCUAGAUAUGUGAUGGUUCAUUCUUGACGUACCUGAUAUGCCGUCUGCCAGUAAUACAGCACCACAUAACAUACAUUCAGCUCUUUGUCUUCCAUCAGGAUCAACCUCCUUUUUUUUUGAAAACAUCCCAAACUUUAGAAUAUCUUCCUCGCUUAGAAGAACUUGCAUGGCUUGCUUGACUAUAGUCAUCUUCAGGUUCUAAACUACCUUGUUGAUCCAUUGGAACCUAUUAAAUAGCAUGAACACAACCCAAAAAAUUACAACCACCUAGAGCAAUACGAUUAGAAUCAGAAAAUUAUGUUGCAUCAGCUCAUAAAGAGAGAGGAAUCUGUCUGGAAUCAAUGUUCCAUUUUAUCAUCAUGAUAUUUAUGUCAUAGACAUAUAACAAGAGCUAUUCGUGUCAUUUUAAGUAAAGGUAGCGAACAUGUUCUAUAUAUCUACAUGUCCAGUAUACUAAUUGCGGUCUCAUUUUGUUGUAAAGUACAUAAGAAUCAACAUUGCAAUUUACACCAUAAUAUUCAGUGUAAUAAAGUCAAGUCUAUUCACCUAAUAGAAAUCACGAUAAUCACAUAAAAUCAAUGGCAUAAUAAACUAAAUGAUUUGUAAAAUGGAACUUGAAUAAAAACAAGGAAUCCAAAUGGACCCACAGGAAUUUCUCAUCAAGAGGGGCUAUGCAUCUUGGAUAAAUAAAUGUGCAGAUUAUUUGAUUUACACCAAUCUUUAAUAUAAAAAUACAACACUAAUUUAGGAGAAAGCUUUUAGAGUUUUUAUCAUUAAAGUUUAUAGUUGAAAGGGUUCAAACCGUCACUGUCCUUUUCCUCUGCUUUUCCCUUGCAGCAGAACAAGGUCGGCUUGUAACCCUUUUCACUGGUUUGAAAGGAGAAUCCAGCAAACAAAAGGAAAGUGCUGGCAAACCUGUAGUAUUACAACACGUACAAGUCAUACCUCCCUUUAUGCAAUUCCAAAGAUAUUUUAAUGUAACAAAGGGGAUUCAGAGCCAUUGAAAAAUGUUACUCUGGGGAAACCAAAGGAAGAAAUAUCAUAGCAAUUGAAAAGAUUGAAAAUGGUCUUGCCUCAAGAUUGGGAACAGAGCCUGAAGGCCGCAGAAUGGAGUUGUAAUCCAGCAAAUCAGCCUCUACAAAAAAUUUACAGCAAUGCCCACAUCAUCAAAUAGCGAAGCAGACAAUUCACAGCAGGUACUUUUCUAUAUUUCCUCAAUUAAACAUAUUUCUUAUCCUUCACAACACAUUUACAGCAAUUCCCACUACAUCAAAUAGGAAAAUACCCAAAUAUAAACAAGAAAACCGAGUAAAUUAGGAAGGAAGGGAUAUGAGGAUGAAAUAACUACCGGGAGAGCGGAGGUCGGAGUAGCCGUGGAGAGCAGAGGAAGAGGUGGAGGAAUCGUUGAGGGCUGCGGAGGAAGAAAGGAGAGGAGUUUCGAAAUAUAUUUUUUGGGAAGAUAUUUGGGCCCGUGGGUACCCAAGGAUUUCCCAUCCUUUCCCGUUCAUUAAUGGGUAUAGUUGGGAUGUGUCCCAACUUAAACCCAACACCAAAUUAUAAUACCCAUCCCGCCCAAAGUCCCUUUGGGCAUGGGUAGCCCAUUGGGACUUGGGACAAAUUGCCAGCUCUAGUUACUGUGUAAAGUAAGUGUCAUACUUUCACGGUUUUAAAUAAAUUAUUGGCUCAUAUCGAUACUUAUCCAAUCUAACAAUUUCUAUGUUGCUUAAUUAAAUUCUGAGUAGCCUACCUUGUAUUGGCUAAUAUUCUCUAAGUGAUCUUCAAUAUUAAGUUCUAAACAAUAUUUGUAAAAAGCAUGAAAGUUUUCAAUUCCAAAUAAUUUUCAUGCAAAUCUUGACUCUAUUUGAUUGCAAAUGUUUUAUAUUCUAAUUAUUCAUAUACACAAAAGCCAAGAUAAUAAAAUUAGGAGUUAGAGUUUUUGGUGUUAGAAACACUCUUAGCAGAAACACAAAUUUGGUGAUUUUAGAAUAUCUUUGUGUUUUAAAAAAAAUAAAACAUUAAAUUUAAGGGGUAAUAUCAGAAACCUCCCUUGAGAUUUCUCUUAAUGUCACGUAGCACCCCUAAAUUUUUAAAAAUAUCACUUACCUCUCUUAUUUUUGUUAUUUGUGUAAAAAAAUUUUAAAAACCCUAAACUACCCUUUUGCUCGCUAAAUAAAAAUACUCCUAAGCCUUUUUUUUAUUUCAAAAAAACCAUCACCUAAAAAAUAAUCUCUAGUAGUACUACCACGUUACAAUGCUAUAGUCCAUAAAAAUAUAAAUUAUAAAUUUAGAAAAAUAAAAAAGAUAUUUGUAAAGAAAUACACUAGCACCAAUUUAACUUAGUAUGUUCAAAAUCGAUUUUUUAUGAAUCUAAUAUUUUUUUCCCAACUUCUUCUCAAUCUGUGUCCAAAAUUUUAAAUCUUACUGAUCAUUAUGCAAAUCAACUCAACAUAAACAAAGAAACCAUACCAUAUUCUAUUACAAUCACAAAAAGCAAAAGAUAGAUAAAAUUCAAUUUACUAUAUAAUUUACAAAUAAAAAAUUGUAUAGUUAACCAAAAAAAAAAGAGUAAGAGAGAAUGCUGAAAAAAGGAGAGAGAACAAAGUGACUUUUGUUUCUUUUCUAUAUUCCAUUUAUUUGAUAUUCGAAUUAUGUAUCAAAUAAGGGUUAAUAUAGUCUUUUUACAAUUACUAGGGGCGAUAAAUGAUAUUUUUCAAAAUGUCAGGGGUGCCAAGUGAUAUUAAGAGAAACCUCAAUGGAGGUUUCUGAUAUUAUCCCUAAAUUUAAUCUUUUUAUCUCAUAUUAUGAACUAAAUAAAGAGAUAAAUACAAUUAUAAAUUAUAAAUUAUUCAUUAUCCAAUAUAAUAAGUACUUGUUGAACUAUGUAUUCAAAUAAUAUACUUAAAAGCACUUGAGCAUUUAAUAAGUGCUUUCAUUAAAAGUUCUAUACCGCAGCUCCAAAUAGAUCCUAAGACAGAUAAUAAAUUGAGCUCAUUGAGCAAAAUAUCAAUCUUAAGGCCUUGGAUUCUAAGAAAAACUACACAAUCUUUUUUUUCUUUUUUUCCCAUUAUUUAGUUCUUCGAUCCAUUGUAAUUGUACGUUUUGAUAAAACUAAAACUAAAUAAAUCUGUAUGUUCGAUGGAAAGCAAUGGGAAUGGUGGGAAAAAUGGUCAAUUUCGUCCCUGAACUUUUUCAUUAGUACCGAUGUAGUUCCUAACUUUUACUCUAAGCCAAUUUAAUACAUGAACUUAUAAGAUCGGUUCCAACUAAGGACUUUUGUGGCGGUGCCACUACCUAAAAUCGAUCUAUCUCCUAAUUGACCAAAUAAAUAGGAUAUUUUGGGAAUGUCACUUUCGGGACUAUAAUAAAUCAAGUAAGUCUUGUAAAAAGUCACAAGAUUAAACUUUAAAAUAGUUUUUAUGUGGUGAAUUUUUAUAUGAUUUAAAUGUUUUAUCUAGUAAUUUUUUUACAUGAUUUACUUGUUUUAUUACAAUCUUAUGAGUGACAUUCUCAUAAUACCCCUGUUUAAUUGGUCAAUUAGAAGCCAAAAUUGUUUUAGGUAAUGGUACCACCACAGAGGUCCUUAAUUGAAACUGCAACAUAAGUUUAAGUAUUAAAUGGGUUAAAAAUAAAAAUUAGUGACUAAAUCGAAACCAGUGAAAAAAUUUAGGGACAAAAUUGGCUAUUUAUUCAAAAGCUAUGGCAUAUGGUAGUCGGCCCAUGAGACGGAUCAUGCGAGAAGAAAGGAAAAGGGAAAAUUUUUAAGGUUUGCCCACAAAUUCUUGUAGCAUUUUACUUUCUCCCUAAAACUAAAGUGCUGGCCAAUUCAAAGUCACGCAAGAGUUUACAGGGCAAAUAGGUAAUUCUAGAUUUAUGACUUUUUGGUGUUGGCGAUCACAAAUAAUAGAAAAGUGGGAUAAUUACAUUUAUCUUCCCUGAGGUUUGGCCAAACUACAAGUCAGACCCUCAAGAUAAGUCAAACUACGAAAAGAUCCCUAAAUCUCACAACUUAAUAACAAACACACCCUUGCCAUUAGUUGACCGGUGUUGGCCAAGCAACUGUGUUACCCUAUUGACACAAAAAUAUUAGGACAAAAAAUCUCAGCGGCCAUUAAGCUAUAGCAGGAUCAUGUUUUGGCCAUCGAACUGUUUUUUUGUCAAUAAUUAACCACUAAAUAAUUUAAUUCGUAAAUUUGUGACCAUUUCAUCGUUAAUUGCUCUUAAGUUCUGAAAUUCACAUUACACGUGGCAAUGUCCGAGGGCAAUUUUGUUUAGUAAUUUACUGACCCUGCAACCCAACUCCUCUGUUUCCUCCCCUUCUGAGACAGGGUACCCACUAGAGAAUUGACCGUCUCUGAACUGAUAGCCGACACAGGAUCCCCCAGCAUAUAUCAACAUAAAAACAUGUCUUCUUCCUUCCAAUAAUUUCCCCAUAGAUUGAGAAUCUAAAGUCAGAAAAACCUACAUAACAACAACUCUGAAAUUGCAAAAAGCAAUGCAUAAUUAAAGAACCAAAGAGAAGGAGGGAGCGGGGAACAUACUGGAGCAUAAGGAAGCAAGAAGAGCCACAAAUGUAGACUCCCUCAGCAACCCAUAAGACAGCUUGCAGUAAUUUCCUUAUAUUGUCAUCCAACUCUGUAACUGAACCGUCGCCACCGACGCCGGCGGUUGUUGUAAUGGGACUGGAAUUCCGGCGACGGCGAGCCCCAUUGGAAAGAUAAAGUUCAGUACUAGCAAUUCCAAAUUUAAACCACCCCUUAUUCUCCUUGGUCUUGAAUUUAUCAAAAUUAGUAUAACUCUGCCUUUUCUUGGUGUUAGCAGCUGCGACGUGGUCAACGCUGCUAGGCGCCCAUGAAGGCGGUCUUGAGUUGAGGGGCUUGCAUAGAAAGGUUCCCGUUGUCAGUAUUUUCAGAUUUCACCGCCGGUCGCCGGUGAAAUUCUCUCCGGUGACUCAAUCCCAGUUAGAAAGAAAGAGAGGAGGUGCACAUGUCUAGUGCAGGAUGGUGGAAGUUCAGUAGCUAUUUCAGCAGGACUUGGCAACAGUGGGACUUAGGAUGGGGCUACGGCUACGUGGCGUAGCAUUAUUCAAGUACUUUUUCACAGACUACGGUUCCACGCCUUCUAGUAAGGUCAAUAAAUUGCUGGACAAAAUUGCCCUCAAAUAUGGUCAUGUGUAAUGCUAAUUUCAGAACUUAAGAGUAAUUAACGAUGAAAUGAUCACGGGUUUACGGAUUAAAUUGUUUAGUGAUCAAUUAUUGACAAAAAAUAGUUCGAUGGCCAAAACAUGAUCUCGCUAAUAGUUUAAUGGCCGCUGAGAUUUUUUGCCCAAAAUAUUAUGAGGUACGAAAGGAUAGCUAUUCAAAGCAUCUCGGCCGAGUAAAUUCCCAAAAAGUGUGACUUUUUAAACUAACUUCCCAAAGGGUGGUGUUUUUUUAGUAUCUUCCCAAAGGAUGAAAAACGCAUCCAGGGAAUGCGUUUUUAUAAAUAAAAAUGCAAUUGUCAAAUGCGUUAUUUUAUUUUUCAUCAAUUUAUUUUAAUAUGAACAAAUUGGUCAAAUAACGCAUUAUUAGAAUGCGUUUUUUGAUCUCACCAUAAAACGCAUUUCGGAAAUGCGUUAUUUUAUAAUAAAACGCAUUAGAUGAAUGCGUUGUUUGUUUACAAUAUGUACCACUUUUUUUCAUUUCUUCAUUCUGGACUUCGAUUAUGUAAGGUUUUUGUUUUAAAUAUUAUCUUAUUAUUUUAUCGAAGUUAUUAUUAAUUUAGCUCACUAAUGGAAGUCAAGAUCCAAAAAAAUUGUUAUUUCAUAGUUGUUAUUAAUUUAGUUGGUAGAGAUUUCAUUUCAGGUUUGCAAAAGGCUUAAAGGUUUUGAACUUUGGAUUUUACAUAUGUAUACACUAAUUUUGUAUCUCAAAUGUUGGUAGUAAAAUUCAAAAAGUAUUAUAAUAAUAUUAUUACGAAAGGAAAACUAGUAGGUUUUGUAUUUAAUAUAAAUUAAAUACGUGAAAGUAAAAAAAAGAAAUUACCCACUUUUUACCAACUCUUUAUGGGUUUCUUCGAUUAGUUGAAUAAAGUACUAGCUAUGGGGGCAGGCAUUUUACUCUGAAUCAUAUAAAUUAUGUUAAAUAUAUAAAUGUUUGUAAGUAAAAUUUAAAAAGUGUUAUACUAAUAUUUUUAUGAAAGGAAAACUAGUAUGUUUUGUAUUUAACAUAAAUUAAAUAUUUGAAAGUUAAAACAAAAUUAAAUUGCCCAUGACAUACCAGUUCUUUAUGAAAAACUUGUAGGUUUUAUAUUUAACGUAAAUUAAUUGCGCGAAAGUAACACUCGUAGGUAAUUUAAUUAGUUUAAUCAGUUACUUAAUUUGUUGACAAGAAACAAGUUUCUUUUGCAAAAUUUGGCCAUUAGGUUUCUCCAAAUAAUUAGGGUAUAAAGGUAAAUUUUCACAAUCUUUUCUAUAGUAGUCUCUUAUUUCUUUUCAUUUUGACAUGACCACACAUUAAUUUAGAUUAAUAUCUAUAGUGCCAACAUUCAUAUUCGCCAAUAACCAGUAAAGAAUAAGAAAAUAUUUCAAGAACGACCUAACAAUAACUGAAAGAGAGUAGACAUACAUGUAUCAAAAGUGUUGAAUGUAAUAUGCUGCUACGUUUUGUAUCUAAACUCUUGCAUGUAUCUAAGUCUUGAGAAUUUAAAAAAAGCACACAAGAACGCACACAACACAUGCAGUGGGUGGCUCAGAAGGCAAGUUGUUGGACUGAUUAACAAAAUCCCCUGCUCCUCUUCUAACAAAAUCAUGGUUCAGACCAGUUAAAUUGACAUUAAGUACAUUCUUACAAGUAAACUGAGAGAAAGUUAGAUAUCUUCAAAUAAAUUAACUGAAUGCUAACUACACUGACAUGUAAAAAAAAAAAAGAAAAUUCGAAAACAAGGUGAAAAAUAUAUCUCCUGCUUCAGUUUUGAAGUAAUCUCCAGCAAAGUGUACAAGGUGUGGAGUCUAAUUUAGCAUCUUGACAUAAUCAUCUCAUAUUAUGGUCUGUUGGGGAUAUCUUUUCCCAAAUCUUUUACUUUUUGUCUGCUGGGGUUUGCUGGAUUGCUUAAUUCCUUUGUAUUCUAUAAUUCAUUAUUGUGCAAGAGAUUAUGGAUCAAUACAUUUUUGAAUCUAAGUGAUGCAUUACUGGGUGAUGUAAAAAAUUUAUGAAUUCAAGUAGUAAUAGAUCCGGAUUUUAGAAGUUUAAUUCAUGAUGCAUUAGUUGAUGGCACGUACUUUGUCUUUUUCUAUAAAUGUACGGGAUGCAUAUUGCUCUAUACUAUUUUGAUUGCUUCACCCUUCUUAUUGGUUUCAAGAACAACAGGAAGCAAAAAUUCCAACCUUGGAAGCUCAACAUAUAAAAGUAUACUAGUAGAAGAAAUGUCAUAAACACACGGAAGCCAUUUAUAUUUCAACCAAAAAUAGUGUAUGAAAAAAAAAGAAAAAGAAAUUCAGCACUCACUUUGAAGAGAAUGAAUACUCUGGCAACAAUUUAUCCUUUGAAUCUGCAAAAAAAUAAACUUACUUUAAGUUUGAGGGAAAAAAAAAAUUUCAGCACUUACUUGAGAGGGAAAAAGAAAGAAAGAAAGAAACCUGAGAGUAGAUGAUCUGUAGAAUUUGAGAAAAUUCCAGAAUCUCUUUGUCUAAUACUCUCGCCCUUUGUAGGGUAUCUUCCUCUGUCAAUAAACCCCAAAGAAUCAUCUCAGGUUUGCUUUUUGCUCUUUAAAAUAAUUAAAUGCAUCCAUUACAUAAACCCUAAAUUUGGGAUUUUAAGUAUUACCUGAUAAUAUGCCUAAUUAGCUCAGCAGUCUCCCAAUCACCACCCUUGCUCUUACGUUGGCUGCGAAUGUGGGAUAAGAUGUAAGAAAAAAUUGAAUGGGUGGUGCGUUUUGUUUGGCGCCUGAAGAAGUUAGGGUAGAAAAAGAGAGGGAUUGAGGGGAAAUUAGUUUUUAGACCCCUUAUGAAGUACCGGGGAGUAGAACAGGCUUCUUAGAUAUGCUAAACAACUCAU